CCCCCAGUCCAUCCCCACGCUGAGUUUGGGGGGUCGUGUGUCCCCUCCGUCCCUGCUUUUAUUCUGACACCAGCCGGCUGCUCCCAGUGUUCCCAGGAAAGCUUCCCAGUUCUCCCCAGUCCUUUUGUUCUCGGCCUGCUCAUCUGGCUGUUUGCUGGUUCCCAUUUGCCUUCGUUUCCUGCGCCCUGUUCUGCCCCCAGCCCGGACCUGCUCGGACUUCAUGGGACAGGUUUGACCCUCCUAGAGAGGAACCUUUUGGGGAGGAGGUCGCCCUUUCCCUCCUCUGCUCCCGUGUUGGCAGUGGCGUGUGUUCAUCGGCCAAAAGGGGGAAUUCCCGGCCACAGCCAGCCACAGACAGCGGGAGUUUCGUGGGAAGAGCCCCUUUUUCUCCUUUUCCACUUUUCCCCCUUUUUGUUGUUCUGCCAAUACACAGAUAUCCUUUAAGAAAGAGCUGUUAUUUUUCCUUUUUCCAUA